rnacentral:rRNA from 1 species
UACGUAGGGUGCGAGCGUUGUCCGGAAUUAUUGGGCGUAAAGGGCUCGUAGGCGGUUUGUCGCGUCGGGAGUGAAAACUCAGGGCUUAACCCUGAGCCUGCUCCCGAUACGGGCAGACUAGAGGUAUGCAGGGGAGAACGGAAUUCCUGGUGUAGCGGUGAAAUGCGCAGAUAUCAGGAGGAACACCGGUGGCGAAGGCGGUUCUCUGGGCAUGUCCUGACGCUGAGGAGCGAAAGUGUGGGGAGCGAACAGG